UACGUAGGGUGCAAGCGUUGUCCGGAAUUAUUGGGCGUAAAGCGCACGUAGGCGGUCUGUUAUGUCGGAUGUGAAAGCCCUUGGCUUAACUAAGGAAGUGCAUCCGAAACUGGCAGGCUAGAGUACUAAAGAGGGUCGCGGAAUUCCCGGUGUAGAGGUGAAAUUCGUAGAUAUCGGAAGGAACACCGGUGGCGAAGGCGGCGACCUGGGUAGAUACUGACGCUGAGGUGCGAAAGCGUGGGGAGCAAACAGG
rnacentral:rRNA from 1 species